rnacentral:lncRNA from 1 species
CCCUCCUCUCUUCUCCUCUCCUCUCCUCUCCAGAGUUCCGGCAGGUGGGGAGGGAAGUCAGGUGCAGCCCAGCCCGGAGGGCUGGGCCUGAGGGGCCUUGGCUGCUGUCCAGACACGUCAUGUCCCUCGUGAGCAGGGGGCCCUGGAAGGACGCCUUGGAGCAGCUGAUGGGGCCAGGGAAGUUGAGAAGGUGAGCAACAGGGUCCCUCCUCCAAUCAAAACACUACAAGUCUGUCUGCUGAGAUGUGGAGAAGGCUUCAAGACUUCCCUGCAGAGCUAGGUACCUGCUAAGGAGGGGCCAGACCCCAAGCCUCGCCCGGGCCGGCCGGUGCUGCGCCACCCAGCGAUGGAGCCAACGGGUGGUGGAUUUGGAAGUUGUAGGAAAAGUUGGACUGAACACAGCUGCCCCGGCCCUCCCCAACCCCUCCGCCUCCAGCUUGAGGCAGUGUGGAGAUCUUCUCUGCGGAAGAAAAGGGAGGCCACGCCCAUUCCUGGACACCUCCCCUUCCAGUCCUGCCCCUCGCGCCCCCCAGCCUCCCAGGCCUGCGCGCACCAGCCAUCAGCAUCGAAAGCACAUCUCUGGGUGGCCCUUCGUUGUGGGAAGACAAAACCAGGUUUUCAGGCACAUCUCUUCUCCCUUUCAUUUUGGGGAUGCAGUCUCUGAAGAAACCGGAAAGAUUAGAAUAUUUUUGAGAACGCCUUUCAAUGACCUCAUCAGCAAAAAGGAGGGUUGGCAAGAAUUGCUGCAAUAGUUAUUUCUCAAGCCUUCUAGCAUUUACCAUGUUCAGUCUCCAACUGUUCUCUGCAGGAAUACAGCUUAGUUUAAUGAAAAAAGAAUGUUAGAAUGACAUAAUGGUGUUUAAAUAUUGAUACUUACCACAAGACUUUGAAUAAAUUCCUUAACCUUUCUAUACUUCUUCAUCUGUAAAAUGGGCAUAAUAAUACCCACUUUGCA